AUUUAAGUAGUUUAAAAAUAAAAUUUUAAUUUGUGAUAUUAAAGAUAUUGAUUAAUCUUAAAUU
rnacentral:tRNA from 1 species